rnacentral:rRNA from 1 species
UACGUAGGGAGCAAGCGUUGUCCGGAAUCAUUGGGCGUAAAGCGCGCGUAGGUGGCUUCGUAAGUCCGUUGUGAAAGUCAAAGGCUCAACCUUUGAAAGCCGAUGGAUACUGUGAAGCUAGAGUACGGAAGAGGCGAGUGGAAUUCCUGGUGUAGCGGUGGAAUGCGCAGAUAUCAGGAGGAACACCAGUGGCGAAGGCGACUCUUUGGCCUGUAACUGACGCUGAGGCGCGAAAGCGUGGGGAGCAAACAGG